rnacentral:rRNA from 1 species
UGGGGAAUCUUGCGCAAUGGACGAAAGUCUGACGCAGCGACGCCGCGUGAGGGAGGAAGCUCUUCGGGGUGUAAACCUCUGUUGCCCGGAACGAAACUCUGGAUUCGUCCAGAUUGACGGUACCGGGUGAGGAAGCGCCGGCUAACUCUGUGCCAGCAGCCGCGGUAAUACAGAGGGCGCGAGCGUUGUCCGGAAUCACUGGGCGUAAAGGGCGCGUAGGUGGCCACUGUAAGGCCGUGGUGAAAGUCCGGGGCUCAACCCCGGAUCUGCCGCGGCGACUGCAGGGCUUGGGCACCGUAGAGGCAGAUGGAAUUCCGGGUGUAGCGGUGGAAUGCGUAGAGAUCCGGAAGAACACCGGUGGCGAAGGCGGUCUGCUGGGCGGUGGGGGCGCAAGCUUCCAAUAGCCGACACUGAGGCGCGACAGCGUGGGGAGCAAACAGGAUUAGAUACCCCCGUAGUCC